GAUGAACGCUGGCGGCGUGCCUAAUACAUGCAAGUCGAACGCUGGAAAUCUAGCUUGCUAGAUUGAAGGAGUGGCGAACGGGUGAGUAAUACAUAAGCAACCUACCCACGAAGGCUGGGAUAAUCUCUGGAAACGGGGACUAAUACCGGAUAGGUAAUCGGAAGGCAUCUUCUGAUUAUUAAAGGGUAAAAACACUGGUGGAUGGGCUUAUGGCGCAUUAGUUAGUUGGUGAGGUAACGGCCCACCAAGACGAUGAUGCGUAGCCGGCCUGAGAGGGUGAACGGCCACAUUGGGACUGAGACACGGCCCAGACUCCUACGGGAGGCAGCAGUAGGGAAUUUUCGGCAAUGGGGGAAACCCUGACCGAGCAACGCCGCGUGAGUGAUGACGGCCUUCGGGUUGUAAAGCUCUGUUGUAAGGGAAGAACGGUAGAUAGAGAAUAUCUAAAUGACGGUACCUUACCAGAAAGCCACGGCUAACUACGUG
rnacentral:rRNA from 1 species